rnacentral:rRNA from 1 species
CACACCGCCCGUCACACCAUGGGAGUCGUUUGCUCCAGAAGUGCCUACGCUAACUCGCAAGAGAGACAGGGCCCCAAGGAGUGAACGGUAACUGGGGUG